CAGGAACCUGCAAGCAAGACAUAAGAAGUUUGAGAAGUAAAGUUGAAAAUGCUUUGUGAUGUAGAGACCAAAGAAUGGAACACGGAGUCCUACACUUGGCUCUGAGUCCUCCUGAGAUUUACCAACCUCUGACCCGGGGCUAUUUGCCUAAACCCCUGGAUCUUCCUUUCAUCAUCUCUGCAGUUCCCUCAUCCAGUUUCAACUCAACUUUGAUCAAAGCAUGUGUCGCUCCCUCAGACAUUUGUCUGGAAAUACUGAGUAUGUGACUCAGGAACAAACAAAAGUUAACUCCAUAGAAUGAUCUCCUACUGGACCUGAGAUGAUUCUUCCCUCAAUUUCAACUGAUUCAUAUCCUUCCUCAACGGCUGACUCAGAGUCAUGACUCAAUAAUGACGACAUCAUUUUAAGCUUAUAAAAUUUGAAGAGAACCAUGGACAGAAAUAGAAGGGGAAAACAUGAAAAAUGAAUGAUAGGAAUAAAAAGAAAACAUACCAAAUGAAUGACUACAGUGUUCUUUUGUCUUGGAAUAAAAUAGAAACUUUACUAAUGGUAACAUAAUUUACAUUUGAGUAGUCCUUUUAUGGUCAUUAUUUUUGUCCGGUGCCCUUAACAACUCUGUCAGCAGUCACAAAAGCUGAAUCUCAGACAACCUAAAGGACCAGCCCGAGGCCCUAGAUUAGAAAGUGGGGCACCAGCCAGAGCUGGGGGGCUAGGCCUUCUGCUCUGGGGGCGUGGGCUACUCCUCAACACAAAAUCUGAGAAGCCCAGAGCCCUUGAGGGUACUGCUCUAGGAAAACUAAGUAAACAAAAGAAACAAACACUGUGUGCUGAUUGAAAACUAAAUAAGACUCAGGAGAAAAUAGUAAACAUAGGCACAAUUCCCAGGUUUUCUGAGAGAGAAAGUUCCUGAUGUUUAUAACACUCACUGAAGAUAGAAAAGAACAGAGAAGCAUUAUUGGCCAUUCUAAGCAAAAGAAAAAAAUGAUAAUACACAUAGAAGAUAGCAUCUAGCAAAAGAAACUGGAGUCAAAAACAAGUGAGA